AGUGAACGCUGGCGGUAGGCCUAACACAUGCAAGUCGAACGGCAGCACAGUAAGAGCUUGCUCUUACGGGUGGCGAGUGGCGGACGGGUGAGGAAUACAUCGGAAUCUACUUUUUCGUGGGGGAUAACGUAGGGAAACUUACGCUAAUGCCGCAUACGACCUACGGGUGAAAGCAGGGGAUCUUCGGACCUUGCGCGAUUGAAUGAGCCGAUGUCGGAUUAGCUAGUUGGCGGGGUAAAGGCCCACCAAGGCGACGAUCCGUAGCUGGUCUGAGAGGAUGAUCAGCCACACUGGAACUGAGACACGGUCCAGACUCCUACGGGAGGCAGCAGUGGGUAAUAUUGGACAAUGGGCGCAAGCCUGAUCCAGCCAUACCGCGUGGGUGAAGAAGGCCUUCGGGUUGUAAAGCCCUUUUGUUGGGAAAGAAAAGCAGCAGGUUAAUACCCCGCUGUUCUGACGGUACCCAAAGAAUAAGCACCGGCUAACUUCGUG
rnacentral:rRNA from 1 species